UAGGUGGGGUGUGUAAGCGCGGCGACGUGUUGAGCUAACCCAUACUAAUUACCCGUGAGGCUUAACCAUACAACACCCAAGAAGUGUUCU
rnacentral:rRNA from 1 species